GAUGAACGCUGGCGGCGUGCCUAAUACAUGCAAGUCGAGCGAACGGACGAGAAGCUUGCUUCUCUGAUGUUAGCGGCGGACGGGUGAGUAACACGUGGAUAACCUACCUAUAAGACUGGGAUAACUUCGGGAAACCGUAGCUAAUACCGGAUAAUAUUUUGAACCGCAUGGUUCAAAAGUGAAAGACGGUCUUGCUGUCACUUAUAGAUGUAUCCGCGCUGCAUUAGCUAGUUGGUAAGGUAACGGCUUACCAAGGCAACGAUGCAUAGCCGACCUGAGAGGGUGAUGGGCCACACUGGAACUGAGACACGGUCCAGACUCCUACGGGAGGCAGCAGUAGGGAAUCUUCCGCAAUGGGCGAAAGCCUGACGGAGCAACGCCGCGUGAGUGAUGAAGGUCUUCGGAUCGUAAAACUCUGUUAUUAGGGAAGAACAUAUGUGUAAGUAACUGUGCACAUCUUGACGGUACCUAACCAGAAAGCCACGGCUAACUACGUG
rnacentral:rRNA from 1 species